CCUACGGGAGGCAGCAGUGAGGAAUCUUGGACAAUGGGCGCGAGCCUGAACCAGCCAAGUAGCGUGAAGGAUGACUGCCCUCCGGGUGUUAAACUUCUUUUAUAAAGGAAUAAGGUGAAGCACGUAUGCCUUUUUGUAUGUACUUUAUGAAUAAGGAUCGGCUAACUCCGUGCCAGCAGCCGCGGUAAUACGGAGGAUCCGAGCGUUAUCCGGAUUUAUUGGGUUUAAAGGGAGCGUAGAUGGGUUGAUAAGUCAGUUGUGAAAGUGUGCGGCUCAACCGUAAAAUUGCAAUUGAUACUGGCGGUCUUGAGUACAGUUGAGGUAGGCGGAAUUCGUGGUGUAGCGGUGAAAUGCUUAGAUAUCAGGAAGAACGCCGAUUGCGAAGGCAGCUUACUAAACUGCCACUGACAUUGAUGCUCGAAAGUGUGGGUAUCAAACAGGAUUAGAUACCCGAGUAGUC
rnacentral:rRNA from 1 species